ACCCAUGUCUUUUGAGUACCUUCGUUUCCUCGGCGGGUCCGCCCGCCGAUUGGACAAACUUAAACCCUUUGUAAUUGAAAUCAGCGUCUGAAAAAACAUAAUAGUUACAACUUUCAACAACGGAUCUCUUGGUUCUGGCAUCGAUGAAGAACGCAGCGAAAUGCGAUAAGUAGUGUGAAUUGCAGAAUUCAGUGAAUCAUCGAAUCUUUGAACGCACAUUGCGCCCCUUGGUAUUCCAUGGGGCAUGCCUGUUCGAGCGUCAUUUGUACCUUCAAGCUCUGCUUGGUGUUGGGUGUUUGUCUCGCCUUUGCGUGUAGACUCGCCUUAAAACAAUUGGCAGCCGGCGUAUUGAUUUCGGAGCGCAGUACAUCUCGCGCUUUGCACUCAUAACGACGACGUCCAAAAAGU
rnacentral:rRNA from 1 species